rnacentral:rRNA from 1 species
CUCGUAGGCGGUUCGUCGCGUCCGGUGUGAAAGUCCAUCGCUUAACGGUGGAUCCGCGCCGGGUACGGGCGGGCUUGAGUGCGGUAGGGGAGACUGGAAUUCCCGGUGUAACGGUGGAAUGUGUAGAUAUCGGGAAGAACACCAAUGGCGAAGGCAGGUCUCUGGGCCGUCACUGACGCUGAGGCGCGAAAGCUGGGGGAGCGAACA